UACGUAGGGUGCGAGCGUUGUCCGGAAUUAUUGGGCGUAAAGAGCUCGUAGGCGGUGUGUCACGUCGAUCGUGAAAACUUACAGCUUAACUGUGAGCGUGCGGUCGAUACGGGCAUCACUGGAGUUCGGCAGGGGAGACUGGAAUUCCUGGUGUAGCGGUGGAAUGCGCAGAUAUCAGGAGGAACACCGGUGGCGAAGGCGGGUCUCUGGACCGAGACUGACGCUGAGGCGCGAAAGCGUGGGGAGCAAACAGG
rnacentral:rRNA from 1 species